rnacentral:rRNA from 1 species
GAUGAACGCUGGCGGCGUGCCUAAUACAUGCAAGUCGAGCGAACAGAUGAGGAGCUUGCUCCUCUGACGUUAGCGGCGGACGGGUGAGUAACACGUGGAUAACCUACCUAUAAGACUGGGAUAACUUCGGGAAACCGGAGCUAAUACCGGAUAAUAUAUUGAACCGCAUGGUUCAAUAGUGAAAGACGGUUUUGCUGUCACUUAUAGAUGGAUCCGCGCCGCAUUAGCUAGUUGGUAAGGUAACGGCUUACCAAGGCGACGAUGCGUAGCCGACCUGAGAGGGUGAUCGGCCACACAGGAACUGAGACACGGUCCAGACUCCUACGGGAGGCAGCAGUAGGGAAUCUUCCGCAAUGGGCGAAAGCCUGACGGAGCAACGCCGCGUGAGUGAUGAAGGUCUUCGGAUCGUAAAACUCUGUUAUUAGGGAAGAACAAAUGUGUAAGUAACUAUGCACGUCUUGACGGUACCUAAUCAGAAAGCCACGGCUAACUACGUG